rnacentral:rRNA from 1 species
CCCUUAGAUGUUCUGGGCCGCACGCGUGCUACACUGAGUGGAUCAGCGGGUCAGGUUGCGCGAAAGCGUUUCCUAAUCUUUAAAUCCGCUCGUGAUGGGGAUUGACGGUUGCAAUUUUCUGUCAUGAACGAGGAAUACCUUGUAAGCGCGGGUCAUCAUCCCGCGCUGAAUACGUCCCUGCCCUUUGUACACACCGCCCGUCGCUCCUACCGAUUGAGUGGUCCGGUGAGGCUUUGGGAUCUGAGCGGAACGAGCGUUUCGCUGUUUCUGCUCGGAAAACUCAGUCGAACCUUAUCAUUUAGAGGAAGGAGAAGUCGUAACA